rnacentral:rRNA from 1 species
UUGAGGAAUUUUCCGCAAUGAGCGAAAGCCUGACGGAGCAAUGCCGCGUGAAGGAUGAAGGCCUGUGGGUUGUAAACUUCUUUUCUCAGAGUAGAAAUAAUGACGGUAUCUGAGGAAUAAGCAUCGGCUAACUCUGUGCCAGCAGCCGCGGUAAGACAGAGGAUGCAAGCGUUAUCCGGAAUGAUUGGGCGUAAAGCGUCUGUAGGUGGCUUGGAAAGUCUCCUGUCAAAGAUCAGGGC